GAUCAUGGCUCAGAACGACGCUGGCGGCGCGUUUAAGCAUGCAAGUCGAGCGGCAAGGGCCUUCGGGCCCCUAGAGCGGCGGACGGGUGAGUAACACGUGGACAAUCUGCCCCCCGGCCCGGGAUAGCCCAGGGAAACCUGGAUUAAUACCGGAUGAGACGGGACCCGCGAUGGCGGGACCCGGGAAAGGCGCUGCGGCGCCGCCGGGGGAUGAGUCUGCGUCCCAUUAGCUAGACGGCGGGGUAACGGCCCACCGUGGCGACGAUGGGUAGCCGGCCUGAGAGGGUGGACGGCCACAUUGGAACUGAGACACGGUCCAGACUCCUACGGGAGGCAGCAGCUAAGAAUCUUCCGCAAUGGGCGAAAGCCUGACGGAGCGACGCCCGCGUGAACGAAGAAGGCCGUGAGGUUGUAAAGUUCUUUUCGGGAGGGGGAACAACCGUGGCAGGGAAUGGCCGCGGGAUGACGUGAAUCCCGGAAUAAGCCCCGGCUAACUACGUGCCAGCAGCGGC
rnacentral:rRNA from 1 species